GGAGGGGUGGCGGAGCGGUUCAACGCAGUCGUCUUGAAAACGACCGGCCUCGCGAGAGGCCCGUGGGUUCGAAUCCCACCCCCUCCGCCA
rnacentral:tRNA from 1 species